GACACGACUCUCGGCAACGGAUAUCUCGGCUCUCGCAUCGAUGAAGAACGUAGCGAAAUGCGAUACCUGGUGUGAAUUGCAGAAUCCCGCGAACCAUCGAGUCUUUGAACGCAAGUUGCGCCCGAGGCCACCCGGCUGAGGGCACGCCUGUCUGGGCGUCACGC
rnacentral:rRNA from 1 species